rnacentral:rRNA from 1 species
AUUGAACGCUGGCGGCAGGCCUAACACAUGCAAGUCGAGCGGAUGAAAGGAGCUUGCUCCUGGAUUCAGCGGCGGACGGGUGAGUAAUGCCUAGGAAUCUGCCUGGUAGUGGGGGAUAACGUCCGGAAACGGGCGCUAAUACCGCAUACGUCCUGAGGGAGAAAGUGGGGGAUCUUCGGACCUCACGCUAUCAGAUGAGCCUAGGUCGGAUUAGCUAGUUGGUGGGGUAAAGGCCUACCAAGGCGACGAUCCGUAACUGGUCUGAGAGGAUGAUCAGUCACACUGGAACUGAGACACGGUCCAGACUCCUACGGGAGGCAGCAGUGGGGAAUAUUGGACAAUGGGCGAAAGCCUGAUCCAGCCAUGCCGCGUGUGUGAAGAAGGUCUUCGGAUUGUAAAGCACUUUAAGUUGGGAGGAAGGGCAGUAAGUUAAUACCUUGCUGUUUUGACGUUAUCAACAGAAUAAGCACCGGCUAACUUCGUG